rnacentral:lncRNA from 1 species
GCUGAGAGAUAGUUAAAGCUAUCACUUAGAGAUAAAAAGUUGUCUCUGACUAAACUGUCUUCUUAAAAGUACUGCAACAUUGACUUAGAAUAAGGAAAUUCUCUCUCUAGCGGAACAAUCAAUCAGAAAUGAUGUUUGCUCACUGAAGUCAAAUAGUUUGUCUAGAGAGAUGAUUUUUGCUAAGAGCAGCAUAGACUCCUAGCUCUACUGUUAUGUAGGUCUCCAUCUCUCUCAAUACAAUAAACAAUAGUACCUGAUCUUACUGAUAUGGAAAUUAUUUGUUGAAUAUGCAUUCAGCACCAAACAAACAUUACAAAGCCUGCACUACUUCAAACACACUAAACAAUCAUUACAUCAUAAAAUGCAUGUAUGAUCAUGUCAUUGUGGUCAAGAGCAUGGGUUAUGAUGUAAUGAUCAUUUUGUUAAUGGUCAUCACUUUAUAUACUUGCUAUGAGAUUGAGAUUGCAAAAAAUAAAGCAAUUUACAGACUUAUCAAUGUAUGUUUCACUUAUUCAGUCUACUGUAUAUUAACAUAAAAAUUUGUUACUUUAAUAUUUAUUUCAUGUAAAACAGCAUGUUUAAAAUUAUUAUGUAUUAACAAUUAAACAAAUUUUCAGUUAUUACAUUUUAUCUUUUCAAUCAAACUAUGAAAAUGAUGUGAAAACUAUUAAAAAAUGUUAAUAACUAUUUCACAUUCUGCAACAGCCAUUAGGCCAUCCCCAAUCUAAUUAUUAAUUAUGUAAUUUUUUUUUUGAAACAGUAAAAUUAAUUUUUUUUAUAAUUACUGAAAAUCAGCAUAGGAUAAAAUCAUUUUUUGCUAUCAUUUAA